UGGGGAAUUUUGGACAAUGGGCGAAAGCCUGAUCCAGCAAUGCCGCGUGUGUGAAGAAGGCCUUCGGGUUGUAAAGCACUUUUGUCCGGAAAGAAAUCCUUGGCUCUAAUACAGUCGGGGGAUGACGGUACCGGAAGAAUAAGCACCGGCUAACUACAUGCCAGCAGCCGCGGUAAUACGUAGGGUGCAAGCGUUAAUCGGAAUUACUGGGCGUAAAGCGUGCGCAGGCGGUUUGCUAAGACCGAUGUGAAAUCCCCGGGCUCAACCUGGGAACUGCAUUGGUGACUGGCAGGCUAGAGUAUGGCAGAGGGGGGUAGAAUUCCACGUGUAGCAGUGAAAUGCGUAGAGAUGUGGAGGAAUACCGAUGGCGAAGGCAGCCCCCUGGGCCAAUACUGACGCUCAUGCACGAAAGCGUGGGGAGCAAACAGGAUUAGAUACCCUGGUAGUCCACGCCCUAAACGAUGUCAACUAGUUGUUGGGGAUUCAUUUCCUUAGUAACGUAGCUAACGCGUGAAGUUGACCGCCUGGGGAGUACGGUCGCAA
rnacentral:rRNA from 1 species